rnacentral:misc_RNA from 1 species
GCUUGUUUUUACGUCUCGGUGUAUAAUACUGGGGUUGCAUCCAGUAUGCAAGUAUUCAAGGCCCUUGGCAGCAUCUUCAGCAAUUUGUAAUCGAAUUAGCCAGUCCAAGCGUUUCUGGUUGACAGAACCAUGUACGUGAUCCCUCAAAGUCCCAUUGUGCAUAUAUUCAUAAACCAGAAUUCGUUGGUUUUCUUCUUCGCAGAAUCCAAUUAAAGGAACCAAGUUCCUGUGAUGAAUUCUUGA